GGGGCUAGAGAUGGGACAGAGGAUAGGAAAAAGGAUGAGGACAGCAAUAGUCAGACCAGGACAAACAAACUGGACGACUCCUCCGUUAAACAGCAUUCUGCUGUGGGGAGAAUCAGGAGUGUUCAGAAAUCACAGCUGUGUGUGUGCGUGCAUGUUCUUCAAGAGGACAGAGCAGCUCCUUCAGAGGGUGGAGAGGUCAGACGCAGCUCCAGUGGCAUCGACUAGUGCCUCACACACAUCACCCUUGUCUCUCGCUCUCUCGCUCUCAUGUUCUUCCCCUCAGAGUGAUGUCUUGGGAGAGAAAGAGAGAGAUCAGGAGGAUAGGAGGAGAAGGUGUGCACCUAUUUACAAUAAUGAUAAAAACCUAAUUGAAUUGUUGAGUUAUCUGUUUAGACAUCCCUUGUAUAUUUUGCUCCAGCAGUUGGCUGGAUGGCCUGUAGUUUACUGAUAUUAUUUAUUGAUACCUGUAAAGGAGGUGUGGCUUGCGACAUUACAAACAUUAGCAUAGAAACGUACUGAAUAAAUUCCAGAGAAACAUUCAGACAUUUUAUAAUACACACAUGAUUAUGUGUUGUUGCAGGGGGAUAUCAGCCUUAUUGGACCGCCUGCAGGGUGGGGGCACAGGGGUUGCAUGGGGGCAGAUGAAGGUACAGAGCCCCCCCGUGGCCGUGGAAGAAGACAGCAGAGUCUGAUAGACCCAUAGCCAGACCUCCAGACCACAGGACACCUUUACAUUCCCUGACCCAGCACACAGCACCUCAGAGUGGCGAGAGGAGACCGGUAAGACCCACACGCAUGCGCACACACACACAUACAGUGAGGGAAAAAAGUAUUUGAUCCCCUGCUGAUUUUGUACGUUUGCCCACUGACAAAGAAAUUAUCAGUCUAUAAUUUUAAUUGUAGGUUUAUUUGAACAGUGAGAGACAGAAUAACAACAAAAAAAUCCAGAAAAACGCAUGUCAAAAAUGUUAUAAAUUGAUUUGCAUUUUAAUGAGGGAAAUAAGUAUUUGACCCCCUCUCAAUCAGAAAGAUUUCUGGCUCCCAGGUGUCUUUCAUACAGGUAACGAGCUGAGAUUAGGAGCACACUCUUAAAGGGAGUGCUCCUGAUCUCAGUUUGUUACCUGUAUAAAAGACACCUGUCCACAGAAGCAAUCAAUCAAUCAGAUUCCAAACUCUCCACCAUGGCCAAGACCAAACAGCUCUCCAAGGAUGUCAGGGACAAGAUUGUCAGACCUACACAAGGCUGGAAUGGGCUACAAGACCAUCGCCAAGCAGCUUGGUGAGAAGGUGACAACAGUUGGUGCGAUUAUUCGCAAAUGGAAGAAACACAAAAGAACUGUCAAUCUCCCUCGGCCUGGGGCUCCAUGCAAGAUCUCACCUCGUGGAGUUGCAAUGAUCAUGAGAAGGGUGAGGAAUCAGCCCAGAACUACACGGGAGGAUCUUGUCAAUGAUCUCAAGGCAGCUGGGACCAUAGUCACCAAGAAAACAAUUGGUAACACACUACGCCGUGAAGGACUGAAAUCCUGUAGCCCCGCAAGUUCCCCCUGCUCAAGAAAGCACAUAUACAUGCCCGUCUGAAGUUUGCCAAUGAACAUCUGAAUG
rnacentral:lncRNA from 8 species